rnacentral:rRNA from 1 species
GAUUAACGCUGGCGGCGUGCGUAACACAUGCAAGUCGAACGAUGAAACUCAUUAGAUUUCUUCGGAAUGAAAAUGAAUGGAUUAGUGGCGAACGGGUGAGUAACGCGUGAGUAACCUGCCUUACACAAGGGGAUAGCCUCUGGAAACGGAGAAUAAUACCCUAUGAAACCAGACAAUCGCAUGAUAAUCUGGUCAAAAUGUUUAGUGGUGUAAGAUGGACUUGCGUCUGAUUAGCUAGUUGGUGAGAUAAAAGCUCACCAAGGCAACGAUCAGUAGCCGGCUUGAGAGAGUGUACGGCCACAUUGGGACUGAGACACGGCCCAGACUCCUACGGGAGGCAGCAGUGGGGAAUUUUGCACAAUGGGGGAAACCCUGAUGCAGCGACGCCGCGUGAUUUAGAAGGCCUUCGGGUUGUAAAAAUCUUUUGUAUAGGAAGAAAAUGACAGUACUAUACGAAUAAGGUCCGGCUAAUUACGUG